rnacentral:tRNA from 1 species
GACCCCAUCGUCUAGUGGCCUAGGACAACAGCCUUUCACGCUGUAGACACGGGUUCGACUCCCGUUGGGGUCGCCA